GGGAUUGUGGCUUAGUGGUAGAGCACACGCCUUGCACGUGUGAGGCAUAGGUUCAAUCCUCAGCACCA
rnacentral:tRNA from 1 species